rnacentral:rRNA from 1 species
ACGGGGCCCGCACAAGCGGUGGAGCAUGUGGUUUAAUUCGACGCAACGCGAAAAACCUUACCUGGGCUUGACAUGGAGAGAAUCUUCUGGAAACAGAAGAGUGCCUCGUAAGAGGAGCUCUCACACAGGUGCUGCAUGGCUGUCGUCAGCUCGUGCCGUGAGGUGUUGGGUUAAGUCCCGCAACGAGCGCAACCCUUGUCUUUAGUUGCCAUCAUUCAGUUGGGCACUCUAAAGAGACUGCCGGUGUCAAACCGGAGGAAGGUGGGGAUGACGUCAAGUCCUCAUGGCCUUUAUGACCAGGGCUACACACGUACUACAAUGGCCGGUACAAAGGGCAGCCACUUAGCGAUAAGGAGCCAAUCCCGUAAAGCCGGUCUCAGUCCGGAUUGGAGUCUGCAACUCGACUCCAUGAAGUUGGAAUCGCUAGUAAUCGCAGAUCAGCACGCUGCGGUGAAUACGUUCCCGGGCCUU